rnacentral:rRNA from 1 species
UUUGAGAGUUUGAUCCUGGCUCAGGAUUAACGCUGGCGGCAUGCCUGUUCGAUUGGGCGGACUAUCAUAUACGAACAUUAAAUUGGCGGGAAAGAUUUAUCGCUUAGAGAGAGGCCUGCGUUCGAUUAGCUUGUUGGUGGGGUAAUGGCCUACCAAGGCUCUGAUCGAUAGGGGGCUUUAGAGGGUGACCCCCCAGACUGGGACUGAGACACGGCCCAGACUCCUACGGGAGGCAGCAGUGAGGGAUUUUCCGCAAUGGACGAAAGUCUGACGGAGCAAUGCCGCGUGAAGGAAGAAGGUCUUCGGAUUGUAAACUUCUUUUGCCCUUGAAGAUUAUGACGGUAAAGGGCGAAUAAGGCGCUGCUAACUACGUGCCAGCAGCAGCGGUAAUACGUAGGCGCCGAGCGUUAUCCGGAUUUACUGGGCGUAAAGCGUCCGCAGGUGGGUUUACAAGUCUGACAUCAAAGCCCUUGGCUCAACCAAGGAAAGGUGCCAGAAACUGUUUAUCUAGAGAUUGGAAGAGGCUGAUGGAACUUCUGGAGUAGGGGUAAUAUCCGUAGAUACCAGAAGGAACACCAAAGGCGAAGGCAGUCAGCUGGUCCAAUUCUGACACUCAUGGACGAAAGCGUGGGGAGCGAACGGGAUUAGAUACCCCGGUAGUCCACGCCCUAAACGAUGGGUACUAGGCAUUGGUGGCAUCGACCCCCUCAGUGCCGAAGCUAACGCGUUAAGUACCCCGCCUGGGGAGUACGGUCGCAAGACUAAAACUCAAAGGAAUUGACGGGGACCCGCACAAGCGGUGGAGCAUGUGGUUUAAUUCGAUGGUAAGCGGAGCACCUCACCAAGGCUUGACAUCCUGUUGAAAGCGACUGGAAACAGACGCCCCCUUUUAGGCAACAGUGACAGGUGCUGCACGGUUGUCGUCAGCUCGUGUCGUGAGAUGUACGGUUAAGUCCGAUAACGAGCGCAACCCCUAUGUUGUGUUGUAUUUUUCACAACAGACCGCUGUGGUUAACACAGAGGAAGGUGGGGAUGACGUCAAAUCAGCGUGGCCUUUAUGCCUUGGGCGACACACGUGCUACAAUGGACAGGUCACAAUGGGUUGCGAGGCCGUAAGGCGGAGCUAAUCCCAAUCGCUAGUAACCGCAGAUCAGCCAUGCUGCGGUGAAUACGUUCUCGGGUCUUGUACACACCGCCCGUCACACCAAGAAAGUGAGAAACAUCCGAAAUCUCUCGGUUACGAGGGCCUAAGGUGGAGCUCAUGAUUUGGGUGAAGUUUAACGGCUUCCCAUGCGAGUAAUCGCAUGGUAAAAUCUAACUAUAUCGGUGAACUCCGAUCCGCCAGUCGGCGGAGGACAACGCCGAGGGAAGUUGGGCUAGCCACGAAGUUCGUGGCGAAUUCUUGUUAAAUUCUGCUAGACAGCAGAACAUAUAAGUUGCCUUAACCCCGUAGAGACUAUACGUUGGCGCCAUCGAAAGAUGGAUGAAGACAUAGUCCGGCACUCUUGGCAACAAGAGAUAACAGUUGCGUAACAAGGUAUCCGUAUCGGAAGGUGCGGAUGGAACACCUCCUU